rnacentral:rRNA from 1 species
UACGAAGGGGGCUAGCGUUGCUCGGAAUUACUGGGCGUAAAGGGCGCGUAGGCGGCUCUGUUAGUCAGGCGUGAAAUUCCUGGGCUCAACCUGGGGACUGCGCUUGAUACGGCGGGGCUUGAGGAUGGAAGAGGGUCGCGGAAUUCCCAGUGUAGAGGUGAAAUUCGUAGAUAUUGGGAAGAACACCGGUGGCGAAGGCGGCUUCCUGGACCGACACUGACGCUGAGGCGCGAAAGCUAGGGGAGCAAACGGG